GGAGAGAUGGCUGAGUGGAUUAAAGCAACGGAUUGCUAAUCCGCUGUACGAGUUCUUUGUACCGAGGGUUCGAAUCCCUUUCUUUCCU
rnacentral:tRNA from 1 species